AUUGAACGCUGGCGGCAGGCCUAAAACAUGCAAGUCGAGCGAGCGGAGGACGGUGGCGUAAUGUAUGGGGACUGCCCGUUAGAGGGGGAUAACUACUGGAAACGGAAGCUAAUACCGCAUACGAUCGGAUAACCCAUAUGGGAUUAGCUAGUAGGUGAGGUAAUGGCUCACCUAGGCGACGAUCCCUAGCUGGUCUGAGAGGAUGAUCAGCCACACUGGGACUGAGACACGGCCCAGACUCCUACGGAGGCAGCAGUGGGGAAUAUGGCACAAUGGGCGCAACCCUGAUGCAGUCAUGCCGCGUGUAUGAAGAAGGCCCUAGGGUUGUAAAGUACUUUCAGUCGGGAGGCGUUACCGACAGAAGAAGCACCGGCUAACUCCGUGCCAGCAGCCGCGGUAAUAC
rnacentral:rRNA from 1 species